UACGUAGGCAGCGAGCGUUGUUCGGAGUUACUGGGCGUAAAGCGUGCGUAGGCGGUGGUCCAAGUCUGGUGUGAAAUCUCCCGGCUCAACUGGGAGGGUGCGCCGGAAACUGGGCCGCUGGAGUAUGGGAGAGGCAAGCGGAAUUCCAGGUGUAGCGGUGAAAUGCGUAGAUAUCAGGAGGAACACCGGUGGCGAAGGCGGCUUUCUGGACAGUAACUGACGCUGAGGCGCGAAAGCUAGGGGAGCAAACAGG
rnacentral:rRNA from 1 species